rnacentral:snRNA from 1 species
GUGCUCUCUCCAGCAGCAUGUACACUAAAAUUGGGGUGGUACAGAGAAGAUUAGCAUGGCCCCUGCAGAAGGAUGACAGACAAAUUUGUGAAGCAUUCCAUAUUAAU